rnacentral:rRNA from 1 species
AACGAACGCUGGCGGCAGGCUUAACACAUGCAAGUCUAACGCCCCGCAAGGGGAGUGGCAGACGGGUGAGUAACGCGUGGGAACAUACCCUUUCCUGCGGAAUAGCCCUGGGAAACUGGAAUUAAUACCGCAUACGCCCUACGGGGGAAAGAUUUAUCGGGGAAGGAUUGGCCCGCGUUGGAUUAGCUAGUUGGUGGGGUAAAGGCCUACCAAGGCGACGAUCCAUAGCUGGUCUGAGAGGAUGAUCAGCCACAUUGGGACUGAGACACGUCCCAAACUCAUACGGGAGGCAGCAGUGGGGAAUAUUGGACAAUGGGCGCAAGCCUGAUCCAGCCAUGCCGCGUGAGUGAUGAAGGCCUUAGGGUUGUAAAGCUCUUUCACCGAUGAAGAUAAUGACGGUAGUCGGAGAAGAAGCCCCGGCUAACUUCGUGCCAGCCGCCGCCGUAACAC